rnacentral:rRNA from 1 species
GGUGCUUGCACCCCGCUGACGAGCGGCGGACGGGUGAGUAAUGCAUAGGAAACUGCCCAGUAGUGGGGGAUAGCCCGGGGAAACCCGGAUUAAUACCGCGUACGCCCUUCGGGGGAAAGCAGGGGAUCUUCGGACCUUGCGCUAUUGGAUGUGCCUAUGUCGGAUUAGCUAGUUGGUGGGGUAAAGGCCUACCAAGGCGACGAUCCGUAGCUGGUCUGAGAGGAUGAUCAGCCACAUCGGGACUGAGACACGGCCCGAACUCCUACGGGAGGCAGCAGUGGGGAAUAUUGGACAAUGGGGGCAACCCUGAUCCAGCCAUGCCGCGUGUGUGAAGAAGGCUUUCGGGUUGUAAAGCACUUUCAGUGAGGAGGAAAAGUUGGUCGUUAAUACCGGCCAGCCUUGACGUUAGUC